rnacentral:tRNA from 1 species
CAGGGUGUAGCGAAGUGGUAUCGCGCUCGCGUCGGAAGCGAGAGAUCGCAGGUUCAAUUCCUGCCGCCUUGA